rnacentral:rRNA from 1 species
AUUGAACGCUGGCGGCAGGCCUAACACAUGCAAGUCGAGCGGAGCGGCGGACGGGCGAGUAAUGCCUAGGAAUCUGCCUGGUCGUGGGGGAUAACGUCCGGAAACGGGCGCUAAUACCGCAUACUAUCAGAUGAGCCUAGGUGGGAUUAGCUAGUUGGUGGGGUAAAGGACUACCAAGGCGACGAUCCGUAACUGGUCUGAGAGGAUGAUCAGUCACACUGGGACUGAGACACGGUCCAGACUCCUACGGGAGGCAGCAGUGGGGAAUAUUGGACAAUGGGCGAAAGCCUGAUACAGCCAUGCCGCGGGUGUGAAGAAGGUCUUCGGGUUGUAAAGUACUUUAAGUUGGGAGGCGUUACCGACAGAAGAAGCACCGGCUAACUUCGUGCCAGCAGCCGCGGUAAUAC